AGGCAUCUUGAAUUUAGGGCCCUUUAGUUUCGCAUCUGGACCUUCGAUAUUCACAUCAGGAACAUCAAUGUCCACCUUGGGUCCUGAGACGUCAAGGUCAGCCUUGGGCAGGUUCACAUCCACAUCUGGGCCCUCUCCUUUGAAGCCAGGCAUGCUGAACUUGGGCAUUUUCACCUUGGGCAUCUUCAGAUUCCAGUCUGGACCAUGAACAUCCACAUCAGGUGCAUUAAGAUUGACUUCUGGUGCCUUAAUAUCCACUUUGGGGCCUUUAAAAUUGAGGUCCAAAUCAGGCAUUGAUAUUUUAGGAGCUUUGAUGUUCAUCUCUGGCAUCUUGAAUUUAGGGCCCUUCAGUUUCGCAUCUGGACCUUCAAUAUUCACAUCUGGAACAUCAACGUCCACCUUGGGUCCUGAGACGUCAAGGUCAGCCUUGGGCAGGUUCACAUCCACUUCUGGGCCCUCUGCUUUGAACCCUGGCACACUGAAUUUGGGCAUUUUCAUCUUGGGCAUCUUCAAGUGCCAGUCUGGGCCAUGAAC
rnacentral:lncRNA from 1 species